AUUGAACGCUGGCGGCAGGCCUAACACAUGCAAGUCGAGCGAGCGGCGGACGGGUGAGUAAUGUAUGGGGACUGCCCGAUAGAGGGGGAUAACUACUGGAAAAGGUGGCUAAUACCGCAUACUAACGGAUAACCCAUAUGGGAUUAGCUAGUAGGUGGGGUAAAUGCUCACCUAGGCGACGAUCCCUAACUGGUCUGAGAGGAUCAUCAGCCCCACUGGGACUGAGACACGGCCCAGAGUCCUACGGAGGCAUCAGUGGAGAAUAUUUCACAAUGGGCGCAAGCCCGAUGCAGCCAUGCCGCGUGUAUGAAGAAGGCCUUGUGGUUGUAAAGUACUUUCAGCGGGGAGGCGUUACCCGCAGAAGAAGCACCGGCUAACUCCGUGCCAGCCGCCGCGGUAAUUC
rnacentral:rRNA from 1 species